rnacentral:rRNA from 1 species
GCGUCGUAGUCCGGAUCGGAGUCUGCAACUCGACUCCGUGAAGUCGGAAUCGCUAGUAAUCGUGGAUCAGAAUGCCACGGUGAAUACGUUCCCGGGCCUUGUACACACCGCCCGUCACACCAUGGGAGUGGGUUGCAAAAGAAGUAGGUAGCUUAACCUUCGGGAGGGCGCUUACCACUUUGUGAUUCAUGACUGGGGUGAAGUCGUAACAAGGUAACCGUAGGGGAACCUGCGGUUGGAUCACCUCCUUACCUUAAAGA